rnacentral:tRNA from 1 species
CGAAGUAUAGCUAAACAAUGAAUAGCGUCUCCCUUACACUGAGAAGACCUCCGUGCAAACCGGAUUACCUCGA